rnacentral:tRNA from 1 species
GCCCUCAUAGUUAAAUGGAUAUAACGGAGGUUUCCUAAACCUUUGUUCGUGGUUCGAUUCCGCGUGGGGGUGCCA